ACAGGUUAAGGAGUAUGUGUUCGUUGCCAAUUCAGAUAACUUGGGUGCCCUAGUUGAUUUGAAAAUCUUAAAUCAUUUGAUCCAGAACAAGAAUGAAUACUGUAUGGAGGUGACUCCCAAGACAUUGGCUGAUGUGAAGGGUGACA